UACGUAGGGUGCGAAGCGUAAUCGGAAUUACUGGGCGUAAAGCGUGCGCAGGCGGUGAUGUAAGACAGGUGUGAAAUCCCCGGGCUUAACCUGGGAACUGCAUUUGUGACUGCAUCGCUGGAGUGCGGCAGAGGGGGAUGGAAUUCCGCGUGUAGCAGUGAAAUGCGUAGAUAUGCGGAGGAACACCGAUGGCGAAGGCAAUCCCCUGGGCCUGCACUGACGCUCAUGCACGAAAGCGUGGGGAGCAAACAGG
rnacentral:rRNA from 1 species